rnacentral:rRNA from 1 species
GAUGAACGCUAGCUACAGGCUUAACACAUGCAAGUCGAGGGACCGGCGCACGGGUGAGUAACACGUAUCCAACCUGCCCUUUACUCGGGGAUAGCCUUUCGAAAGAAAGAUUAAUACCCGAUAUAAAGGAUGGGGAUGCGUGCCAUUAGGUUGUUGGUGAGGUAACGGCACACCAAGCCUUCGAUGGAUAGGGGUUCUGAGAGGAAGGUCCACCACAUUGGAACUGAGACACGGUCCAAACUCGUACGCGAGGCAGCAGUGAGGAAUAUGGUGCAAUGGGGGCUAGCCUGAACCAGCCAAGUAGAGUGAAGGAUGAAGGCUUAUGGGUCGUAAACUUCUUGUAUAUAAGAAGAUGUAUUAUAUGAAGAAGGAUCGGCUAACUCCGUGCCAGCAGCCGCGGUAAUAC